GACACGACUCUCGGCAAUGGAUAUCUCG
rnacentral:rRNA from 1 species